rnacentral:piRNA from 1 species
UGAUAUAGAUAUUUCCCGUGCUGCCCC